UCCGGAGAGGGAGCCUGAGAAACGGCUACCACAUCUACGGAAGGCAGCAGGCGCGUAAAUUACCCAAUCCUGAUUCAGGGAGGUAGUGACAAGAAAUAACAACUCGGGGGCUUCACGCCUUACGAGAUUGCAAUGAGAACAAUAUAAAUAACUUAUCGAGGAACAAUUGGAGGGCAAGUCUGGUGCCAGCAGCCGCGGUAAUUCCAGCUCCAAUAGCGUAUAUUAAAGUUGUUGCAGUUAAAAAGCUCGUAGUUGAAUGUCUGGCCAUUGCUUUAUUGGCCCCGGUCGAUAAGGGAAUAGUCAUCAGUCAGAGAACUUUAGUUGUCCUUAAGUGGUCGCUGAGGGAUCUGACAUUUUACUUUGAAAAAAUCAGAGUGUUCAAGGCAGGCAUUCGCCCUGAAUACACAAGCAUGGAAUAAUGGAAUAGGACUAUGGUCCAUUUUGUUGGUUAUUGGACCUUAGUAAUGAUUAAUAGGAACAGUUGGGGGCAUUAGUAUUUAAUUGUCAGAGGUGAAAUUCUUGGAUUUAUUAAAGACUAACUUAUGCGAAAGCAUUUGCCAAGGAUGUUUUCAUUAAUCAAGAACGAAAGUUAGGG
rnacentral:rRNA from 1 species